CCAUUACAGAUCGGCAUCUACUGUAUAGCAGUAUAAUACAAAGGUCAUGCAUAUAUAUAACACUAUAUGAUCCAUGAUCACCUACAACAGCAGCAGUUCUAGCACUAGGACAACAAAAACAAAAACGGAACCAUGUAAUACAUGGAAGGUGACCAGGCACAUAACAACAAAAAGAAGCAAGGUAAUCAGAAAGGAAGGAGCUUUACAUUUGAUGACAGUAAUGGCUUGCACGGCUGGGCUUACUCAUCAGUCCUCUCACAUCUGGUUCUGACUGAACAUCGUCCCCACAUGGCGCCAAUGCCGGUGCCACUGCUACCUACCAUGGCUUCAGGUCGCCCUUGGGGCC
rnacentral:lncRNA from 1 species